CAGCAUCAGAUGAGGUGUGGCAUAGACGUCUUGGCCAUCCCAAUAGCAAAAUCCUACAACAGCUAGUCAACAAUAAAGCAAUUAUUAUCAAUAAGAGUACCAAGCAGAUGUGUGAGGGAUGUCAGCUUGGGAAAAGUAGUCAUCUUCCAUUCUCUGAUUCUAAGUUUAUUUCCAGCAGGCCGCUAGAGAGGAUUCACUGUGAUCUUUGGGGACCCUCUCCGGUUGUGUCUAGUCAAGGUUUUAAAUUCUAUGUAAUCUUCAUUGACCAUUGGUCUCGUUACUGUUGGUUCUACCCAUUGAAAUGCAAAUCAGAUUUCUAUCCUACAUUCUGCAACUUCCAAAACCUUGUUGAGAAUCAGUUUUCCUGCAAAAUAAGAAUGUUUCAAUGUGAUGGUGGUGGAGAAUUUACAAGUCAAAAAUUUCUCACUCACCUAGCUCAGUCUGGUAUUCAACAACUUAUCUCAUGCCCUU
rnacentral:lncRNA from 1 species